rnacentral:rRNA from 1 species
UACGAAGGGGGCUAGCGUUGUUCGGAAUUACUGGGCGUAAAGCGUGCGCAGGCGGCUUCUCAAGUCAGGGGUGAAAGCCCAGAGCUCAACUCUGGAAUUGCCUUUGAGACUGAGUGGCUUGAGUACGAGAGAGGUGAGUGGAAUUCCCAGUGUAGAGGUGAAAUUCGUAGAUAUUCGGAAGAACACCAGUGGCGAAGGCGACUCGCUGGACAAGUAUUGACGCUGAGGUGCGAAAGCGUGGGGGGCAAACAGG